AUCCUAAAUCCUAAACUCCUAAAUCCUAAACCUUAAAACCCCAAUCCCAAACCCCAAAUCCUAAAUCAUAAAUCCUAAACCAUAAACCCAAAGCCAUAUGCCCUAUGUUCCAAACCCUAAACCCUAAACCCCAAACCCCAACCCCCAAACCUCAAAUCCUAAAUCCUAAACCCUAAACUCAAAGCCUGAAAUCUAAAACCCAAUUCCUAAACCCUAAAC
rnacentral:lncRNA from 1 species